AGCGCACUUGCUGCUUUUGCUUCAAGACGACGUUUAAACGUUAGUAUUCUCCAUUGUUGCUUUUCCCCCAACUCUUCUCCCACACUGCCUUCUUCUCCCACUAUCUUCUCCCUACUUCCUUCUCCCUCUCCCCACUGCCUUCUCUUUCAGCACCCGUCUUUCUACCUUCCUUCUCCCUCCCCAACUUUUUCUUCCCCUCCCUCUCCCCUUUACCACCGUCUGCUUCCCCACCUUCCCCCUCCUUCAGCCCUCUUCCUCCCGUCUCCUUCCCGACUCCUCUCCUUCCCCAAAGUCUUCUUCCCACCUUUUUCUCUCCCACUCUCCCCUCUUCUCCGUCCUUCUCCCCUCCUCCUUCCCCACCGCGGUCUCCCCGCACCCCCUCCUCCCCGCUCCCUCUCUCCACCGUCUUCUUCCCGCGCCUUCUUCUCUCCCGCAGUUUUCUUCCCUUCCCCACCGUUUUCUUCCCUUCGGUUUCUCCGCCUUCUUGCAGCAGCGGCUUGUUCCCCGCCCUCCUCCUCCUCUCCACCCGCUCGCUUCCCUCCCACCUUCCCGCAGCAGCGUCUUCCCGCCACUCCCUCUUCUCCCCGCGUAUCCCCACGACCGUUUUCUUCCCGUCAUCCCACCCUGUCUGCCGCAUCUUCUUCCCACCGUCUUCUCUUCCCUCCCUCUCCCCUUCGUCUUCUUUCCCACCCUCUUAUUCUUCCUUCCUCCGUCUUCUUCCUUCCUCCGUCUUCUUCCUUCCUCCGUCUUCUUCACGCAGCAGCGUCUUCUCCCCGCGUGUCCCCACGACCGUUUUUCCCCACCCCAACCGUUUUCUUCCCCUCGCACCGUUUUCUUCCCGUCAUCCCACUCUGUCGCAGCAGCGUCUGUCUGCCGCAUCUUCUUCCCACCGUCUUCUCUUCCCUCCCUCUCGCCCUCGUCUUCUUUCCCAGCCUCUUAACUCUCCACCAUCUUCCUCCUCCCUCCGUCUUCUUCCCGCCUCCAUCUCCCCCCCUUCUUCCCGUAGCGGCAUCUUCCCGUAGCGGCGUCUUCCCGCCGCGCUUUUCUCUCCGCACCCUCUAG
rnacentral:lncRNA from 1 species